CCUACGGGUGGCUGCAGUAGGGAAUAUUGCUCAAUGGGCGAAACCCUGAAGCAGCAACGCAGCGUGGAGGAUGAAUGUUUUAGGAUUGUAAACUCCUUUUGUUAGAGAAGUUUAUGACGGUAUCUAACGAAUAAUCUACGUCUAACUUCGUGCCAGAAGCCGUGGUAAUACGGAGGGUGCAAGCGUUACUCGGAAUCACUGGGCGUAAAGGGUGCGUAGGCGGGGUAAUAAGUCAGGUGUGAAAUCCUUUAGCUUAACCACAGAACUGCAUUUGAAACUGGUACUCUGGAGUGUGGGAGAGGUAGGCGGAAUGCUUGGUGUAGCGGUAAAAUGCGUAGAGAUCACGAAGAACACUCAUUGCGAAGGCGACCUGCUGGAACAUUACUGACGCUGAGGCACGAAAGCGUGGGGAGCAAACAGGAUUAGAUACCCGUGUAGUC
rnacentral:rRNA from 1 species